GACGAACGCUGGCGGCGUGCUUAACACAUGCAAGUCGAACGAAGUGGGAACGGGUGAGUAAUCCGUGGGUAACCUCCCUCCUUUUUGGGAUAAGCCUUGGAAACGGGGUCUAAACCGACUAGAUGGGCUCGCGGCCGAUCAGCUUGUUGGUGGGGUGAUGGCCUCACAAGGCGGUGACGGGUAGCCGGCCUGAGAGGUUGACGGGCCACAUUGGUACUGUGUCACGGCCCAGACUCCUACGGGAGGCAGCAGUGGGGAAUCUUCCGCAAUGGACGAAAGUCUGACGGAGCAACGCCGCGGUAGUGAUGACGGCCUUCGGGUUGUAAAGCGCUUUUAAUCGGGACGCGGUACCGGAAUAGAAAGCCACGGCUAACUACGUGCCAGCAGCCGCGGUAAUAC
rnacentral:rRNA from 1 species